UAUAAACGAUGCCCCCCAUAGGGGGUCUCUGAGGCCAUCCACGUUAGGCCACUCGGCGCGCGCGGGCUGGCCGCUCGCUUCGCUCUUCUCCACCGGCUCGGCCACGUACCAGCUUUUGGUUGGUUCAUCUCAGGGAAUAAGAAAAAGAAUCGGGAGGAGGGGAAAUAGGCCGUGACCCAGCAAACCCAAUCCCCGCGCGCCUCGCAGCCGCCGCUCGCGCCUCCCAUCCCCGCCGCCGCCUUGCGCCUCGCGCCUCCCAUCCCGCCGCCGCCUCGCGCCUCCCAUCCCCACUGGCGUCGUGCGCCUCUUCUCGCCCACGACGCGGCCGGUUCCUUCUCCGCGUAUUCUCGCCCACGCUCCACAGCCUCCGGCCCCGAGCUCUCCGCCUCGACUCACCGCCUCCCCUGCUCACCGGAGGAGGAGGCCGAACCAUCCAUGAUGCAGGCGUCAUCACCCUGAUGUGCGCGUCGUCGCGCGGGAAGGAGGCAUCCUUGCCGCAGGUGGAGCUCCGGCGGCCGAGCUGGCUGUAGCGCCGCCGCCUCGCUCUCACAGAGCACGAGCCGCCGGGAUGAGCCGCAGGCCGCCGCUUGUGCCCCCACCGUGCGAGGACCAGCAGCGCUCGCCAGGGCGGUGGAGCACGUACAUCUCAGGCAUCUCUCUCUCUCUCUCUCUCUCUCUCUCUCUCCAUGAGAAGCCCCAUGGAUCCUCUCUCGUUUGUCAUCUCUUUUUACUCAGAUUCUAUUUUAUGUAUGCUGGGAAGGUGUUUGACAUAAUUCAUGCAGGGCAAGAUUGAUCUAUUUCAUAUCUUUACUCUAUUGAUUGCUCAAUAAUUUCGUUCUUCUCUCUGUAAAAAAUAGCUCUAGUGCGUUCCAAGAUUUUGCAUCAUUUUUUUGCAUAAAAAUGGCUCUAGUGCGUUCCAAGACUUGGUAUUCCAUUGUAGUUCCUGGUCAUCCUCCUCCUCUACAGAACUGAUUGAUGCUCUUAGGGAUAAUUUUUUUGUUUCAGCAUAUAUACUUCAGUCCAUAUGUGCAUUAUUUAUUCCUUGGUGUUUUGACAUGACGCUGGAUGGUGGCGAGCAGUUUCAAGGUGCACACGAGCUUCUUCUACUAUUAUUCUGUUAUUGAUGCCACCUCAUGAGAUUUGUCCAACUCCACUUUGUUUGGUCCAUAUAUACGAUGUAUUCAUGGAUUGGGAUAAAUAUUUCCUUCUUUUUUGGUCACGGUUUGGUGUUUCUCAUCUGAACAUGGAUUUAGUAUGUGCCCUUCUGCAUCCAAGCAUACCACUCUGUUCUCAAUGGCAAUUUGUUACCUCUUUUAAAUUUUUUAAACAAGCUCAUUUUGAUUUGUAAGGUGGAUAAAGGGUUCCUGUUAUUUUACAACUAACAGUGGCAAAACUAUUUAGGAAGGUGUACAUGACCCUUGCAGCUCUAUUCAGGUCAUAUGACAAGGGUGCCAAUGGUAUAUUGUCUGACAUGUCGAGCCUUCUGUUCUACAGGAAAUCCCAUUGUUUAUUUCAUUUACGGAAUAUAAUGAUGACACAUCUUUGGUGCAGCUAGAGAUAAUAAAGCAAUUAGAGAGAGUUAUGGUGAAUCUAGGAUAAUGUGUAUCUAUUCAGCUGUACCAAAUAUUCAUCCUCUCCUUCAGGUAAAAAGUAUCCUCUUGUUUGUACAUGUAUUUCACAUAAUCUCAUUUCAUCCGUUCUGGUUAAAAAUAGUCUGUAUAAAAGUUUUGGCAGAUUACUUUACCAUUUUUGUAGUUGGAUUAAGGAACCAUUUACUGCAGUUUUUGAUGUUUUGUAUCCAACUCUUAAAAUGGCGUGGUGUGUGCCUUCUCACUGAACUGUAACUUUUUUUACAUGUUUCUAGGCUGUACAUAGUGUAUCAGCAUUUCCGGUUGCAAUUGUAUUGUCAGAAUUAGGCUUGCUAAUUCAUUUCCGCAAUCCGCACACUCUUGGGUGUGUAAUCAAUCUGUAUGAAUUUUGGCUAACUGAUUUUGUAGAUCUUUGACUUCACAAGCCUGUGAUUUUGCCACUGUUCUUUGUGGCGAGGAAAACUUUGAUAUAUUUAGUAUAUGCGAUACGCUUUUGUGACCUAUGCUGAUUCAAAUAUUGUGUUAAUCAUUCAUAGGCGUAGGCAGCUGAAAGCUCUAGCGGACGGGAUAAUGCAAAAAGAAGAAGACUUGAAUUAGAAACGGUUACAAUAUUUGAAAUGAUCUGCAUAUCUCUUCGCAUGUGCUGUUCGGUAUACUUAUGCCUAUAGAUGAUUUGGGUUUCUCACGUGAGAAAGUUGUUAGAUCUGUAUGGCUUAUCAUCUGCUUGCCAUAGGUUGCGAUUUAGCACUGAUUACUUCUUGGUUUGCUUUUUAGUAGUGUUGCUGAGAGGAGAGGCGACACAAACCAUUGGUAGUUGUUUGCUUCCUGUUAUAUACGUACCGGGAUCUGAGGAUAGUGUUCCUCCCUUUUCUGUGAUCAUCUACAUAUGAUGCAACAGUUGUCUUUGCAUCUCCACUGGGUGGUGGUUACACCCUUUCGUAUGUGAAUGCUUUUGGCUAAUGCUACUAUCUGUUGCUUAGUUAUUUAGUGUGUUCUGUCAUGUGGUGUGUUUCUAAGAAAAAAAAUGUAUAUUCCUGGCUUACCACUGCUCUGCUCUUCUUUUAUUAUUAGGACUAUAAGAAUAAUAUUGACAUUUUUCCACCAAUACAUGAGUUGCACAGGAUCGAUAAUUUUUUAGCUUAGGGAGCGUUUGUGUGCAAGUGCUUGAGGCUAGGUAAUUGGCUAAAAUGGUUGUUUUUCUUGCCCCCAUCACAUUCAGCCUCUAUUGUACUAACCAUGUGUUUUUUGUUUUGUUUGCAAAUGUGUUGUUCCCUGACCAAGAGGAGAUCUUGGAGCAGUUGUAUAUACAUAUUGCAGAAUUGAAUGGUGGUGAUUGAUUUGAAAUGUAAAAAAUCAAGGUUUCUUUCUAGGGUUCUUCCUAGGAAUUUUGCAAUCAUGAUCUGACGUAGGUAAAUAUUGUGGUUGUUUCCACCGCGAGGAAACAUUUUCCAGCAAUUGAAGGUGCUCUUUGGCUCAUCAAUGACAAGCACCAAAGAUAAUACAUGCAGGAGGUUGAGAAGAAGUAACAUGUACUGAGGUAGAACUCAAAAGAUUGUGGCAGGUGUCCCCGGCUGUGCGUGGAGUUUCGACAUGAGCAGACAUCCCCGGCUAUGAUGCACCACGACUUGAAGCGCAGCUGCACACUUCACAAGCCAUCGACUCUGAAGGCGUUAGUAUUUUUUAUCCCAGAAAGCUACUCAGAUACCAGCUGAUUAGAGUAAACGCCAAGGGCAUGAAUGAGGGCUGCAAAUGGUAGAAAUAUCUGAGGAUGUACGGGUGGUGAUAUUCUCCGUGUCGCUCAGCGACUAUGACCAACUGGGAGUCUCUGCAAGUGGUGGCAGUAGGCGCCUUUAGAAUAAGAUGACCCAAAGCAGGGACUUGUUUGAGGCCACAAUCAGGUGAUAAAAUCAGUGACAGACUCUCUAACAGAGGCCAUCUCGUGACGGUGGUGCAAGAGCACAACCUUUUGCACAGAAUAGCAUUCUGUAUGUAAGGGAUCUGGAUUGUUUGGUCGAUAUCUUCACUCUGAGCUACUCAUGGUCGUACUGCCAGUUGAAACAUCAAAUUAUCCAUACCCACUUCAGUUUUGCUCGUUUCAGGAGUGUCGUUGCUGCUGCCAGAUAUCACUGAGAUUGUUUUUUCGUCAGGACAAUGGAUUUCUGCAAUAUAUCUUCAGUAUGAGACUGACAAAGCUGAAACUCUAUCAUCCAGUGACAAGUACAUGUUGUUGCUCAAGUAUGUCAAUAGGUAAUAUUUUCUCUUUGGGAUGCUGGGAAUGUAAGCAAAAUUAGUGUGGCCUCCUGUCUGUACCUCUAAGUUGAACCAAAUAAUGGUGGAUACUCUAAUUUUACAUCAUUCCAAGUGAACCCUCAAUUGCUUAUGAUGACUUUAUUUUGGGGCAUACAAUUAUCUACCGGUAGGCAUCAGCUGAUACAUAGAAUUUGAGACGAGGCAGCAUCGUGUGACCCCUCGCUCCGACCACUCAGGGUUCCCCUCUUCAUGGUUGUCAUCAUCCUAGACCCUAGGUUACUUGCACUGAUAAAUAGAGAUUGAGCCAGUCAUGUAUCAAGAUUCUGAUAUACCUUCAUUUUCUGAUCUUCUUUUGUGGAGAUUGAGCCAGUCUUAGGAUCUGCCAUCUUCAAGUCGGGGGCAUUCUUGAGACUAACUAUGGGAAGUUACAAAAAAAAACGGUUGGGAAGGAGUAGCCGAACUGAUGAAGGGGGUAGGACUUGACCGCUUAACCUCUUGAUUUUCUCGACACUGGCAAAAUAUGUUUAUCUCUCCUUUUGCUAACAAUGCGCAUGGUUAGUAUUUUAGGUAUACAUUCACUAGCUACAAUGAUAUCUCUGAAGUACAUGGAAAUCCCAAAUCGAACAUGGGAGGAUCGUGACAGCGUUGCUCUUGCGGAUUUUAUUAGCUCGAUUUUACCAACAUUAUUCCUUUUGUAGAUAGCCCAGCUUAUGUAGAUGUUUCUACUGUUGUUCGUUUCUUCUAUUGCUCUUGACAUAGCCAUCAAGUAUUUGCUACCAUGAUAUAUUUCUUUCCUGGUGUAUAUAAAUUACUUCGUUUGUAACUUUGUGUGUUUUAUCGUAAGAUCAUUAUAUCGAUAUCCUAAUAAAAAAUUUAUCAUUUGCACAA